ACCAAGCCUGCAAGAACUGAAAAGCCUCUUUGUUGUGUUCCCAAUAUUGCUUUCUCAAGGAAGCUACUGAAAAAGUCAGAAAAACUUUUGCACUGAGGAAUUGCAGCGUGCACCAUAACAGCUCUGCACAAGGACACGACCUACAGUAAGAGAGGUUCAAAAAUUCCAAUUAUUCUAGCUGCUCUAUUACCAUACCUGAGACUGCACUGCCAUGGUGUCUUUGAGAGGAAGCAGAAUGUUCAUCAAUGAUCACUCAGCUUCCUCCUGGAGUGAGCUGUCCUACUGGAGGAAGAAUGGGAUGAAGGAGCUCUUCUUCACCUAGCUGCUGUUGACAUGUCUGGCCACACAUGUUUUGGACUGGACCUGGUAUUUUAGAGACCUCAACUCAACAUGAUAAAUCUGCAGUAUGGCUUUUCAGGAUACAUUUGUACUGGAGCAACAAAUAUUUUGGUUUUGUUCAGGAAUGGCGUAGGGCCUUCAGAUGCUGAAGAGAUCAUCACUGUCCUGGAAUCAGUGAAAGGAAGUCUCCUCCCACUGGAUCUGGGUCUGAGUUCCAAUCACUGAUGAAGGUCCUGCAGUGGAAUACUAGGCUUUGGCUGAGGCACUGGUGUGUGUGCCCCUCUGCCAGCCCUGCCAGAUGGGUAAAGGGUGGGCAAUCACCAGAAGGUCGAGGACCAAGAGGUGCUUCUGCUCAUCCCAGGCACAGUACCUAUAUGGAAUCUACCUUGUCCUCAAGGUAACUCCAGUUUGUCAUGGUAUCUGCUUUGAUUUUUUAUUGUCAUUGAAAAGCAACAAGGAACCAACUUUACCUCUACUCUUCCUGUUCUCUUGAUUUCAAGCCUGUGGCUCUUCUAGUAGUAACUCCCUGUGUGCAGUUUCCAGCAUUCAAAGAAGAAAUUGCACACCUGCACAUGAUGUGAAAUUUCUCUCUCAAGCACCUUUUUGUUAUGUUUCUUCCUAAAAAUUUCACUUGGCUAAAAUAGUAGAUGGCCUGGGUAUAUAACUUUUAUUAUACAUAACAGAAGAGGGACUGUAGCAACUGAGAACACGCAGGACUCAUGCUUUUGUAAAUAGUCCAGUGAUGUCUUUAAAAUAGGAAGAGGAAAGAUCUGGCUUGUACUGAGGAAGCUGAGACAGUGCCCAGGUUUACGUGUAAUUUGCACCAGGAGGUUUAUGAGAUCUUGUGUUUACUCCCGCUCUGAUUCUUGUCCCUUAAUAGUGGAAGAAGGAGCUGCCAUUGGAGAAUGAACAACUUGUACUUUUAUCUCAGCUCUGUUGGCAACUUCUUUGUAUGUAACUCUGCUUUCUUUUUUCUCUUCAAGUCCUUAUUCUUUGCUACUGAGUUGUUUGUGAUAUAUAAAAAAAGAAAAUUUAUAUAUUCUCUUCCCCAUUAUGAGCACCCCAAUUGCCAUCUCUGUGUUUGUGUGCACCAACAGGAGUGUUGUGUUGUGUUCAAGAACUGUUAAAUGUCACAAAACUGAACUGGAGCAUUUCAGUCACGUGACACUGAAAAGCUCCACUCAUGCUUAGCACAUGUCUUUCCUGAGCUCAAACCAGAUGUUUCCCUUGACAGCAAUCCCCCCCUCUGGAUUGCUGAAAAUAAAGUUGUGUAAAAUUGUG